UUGGUGGCACUGCUCAGCAGGUUUGUUAUUUUUUUUUUUUCAACGGUUGAUUUGAGAAGUUGGACAGAAGUGUGUAAUGAAAUGUAUGACAUUAAUGUUGGUUUGAGACUUCAAGUGUUGUGGCUUGGAGCAGUCAUUUUUAUGUAAUUAUGACCUGUGUUAAAAGUCUGUCUAAAAUACCUAUACUGGGAAGUUAAAAUUACAUAAUAGGUAAGUUUGCUAAAAGUUUGUCUAAAAUAGUAUUUCUUCAGUUUAUUUUAUGUUGGAUCUCUUAGAAUUAAUGAUGUUGGUAAAAGGCGCUGUUGGAUUUUAAGAUGA
rnacentral:misc_RNA from 1 species